UACGGAGGGUGCAAGCGUUAUCCGGAUUCACUGGGUUUAAAGGGUGCGUAGGCGGGCAGGUAAGUCCGUGGUGAAAUCUCUGAGCUUAACUCAGAAACUGCCAUGGAUACUAUUUGUCUUGAAUAUUGUGGAGGUGAGCGGAAUAUGUCAUGUAGCGGUGAAAUGCUUAGAUAUGACAUAGAACACCAAUGCGAAGGCAGCUCACUACACAAUUAUUGACGCUGAGGCACGAAAGCGUGGGGAUCAAACAGG
rnacentral:rRNA from 1 species